UACGAAGGGUGCAAGCGUUACUCGGAAUUACUGGGCGUAAAGCGUGCGUAGGUGGUUUGUUAAGUCUGAUGUGAAAGCCCUGGGCUCAACCUGGGAAUUGCAUUGGAUACUGGCAGGCUAGAGUGCGGUAGAGGAUGGCGGAAUUCCCGGUGUAGCAGUGAAAUGCGUAGAGAUCGGGAGGAACAUCUGUGGCGAAGGCGGCCAUCUGGACCAGCACUGAUACUGAGGCACGAAAGCGUGGGGAGCAAACAGG
rnacentral:rRNA from 1 species